rnacentral:rRNA from 1 species
UACGUAGGGGGCAAGCGUUGUCCGGAUUUAUUGGGCGUAAAGAGCGUGUAGGCGGCCAGGUAGGUCUGGUGUGAAAACUCGAGGCUUAACCUCGAGAUGUCAUCGGAAACCAUCUGGCUAGAGUCCGGAAGAGGAGAGUGGAAUUCCUGGUGUAGCGGUGAAAUACGCAGAUAUCAGGAAGAACACCAAUGGCGAAAGCAGCUCUCUGGGACGGUACUGACGCUGAGACGCGAAAGCGUGGGGAGCGAACAGG